CGCCCUUAGGAAAAGCCACUAAGCUUCAGCUACACACGACCGUACCGCAAACCGACACUGGUGCGCGAGAUGAGUAUUCUAAGGCGCUUGAGAGAACUCAGGAGAAGGAACUCGGCAAAUUGACACCGUAACUUCGGAAGAAGGUGUGCCUUUAGUAGGUGAACCUGUACAAGGGGAGCCCAAUGAGGUUGCAAAAAAUCGGUGGCUGCGACUGUUUAAUAAAAACACAGCACUCUGCAAACACGAAAGUGGACGUAUAGGGUGUGACGCCUGCCCGGUGCUGGAAGAUUAAAUGAUGGGGUGCAAGCUCUUGAUUGAAGUCCCAGUAAACGGCGGCCGUAACUAUAACGGUCCUAAGGUAGCGAAAUUCCUUGUCGGGUAAGUUCCGACCUGCACGAAUGGCGUAACGAUGGCCACACUGUCACCUCCUGAGACUCAGCGAAGUUGAAAUGUUUGUGAUGAUGCAAUCUCCCCGCGGAAAGACGGAAAGACCCCAUGAACCUUUACUGUAGCUUUGUAUUGGACUUUGAACAGAUCUGUGUAGGAUAGGUGGGAGGCUUUGAAGUGUGGUCGCUAGAUCGCAUGGAGCCAACGUUGAAAUACCACCCUGGUGUGUUUGAGGUUCUAACCUAGGCCCGUAAUCCGGGUCGGGGACAGUGCAUGGUAGGCAGUUUGACUGGGGCGGUCUCCUCCCAAAGCGUAACGGAGGAGUUCGAAGGUACGCUAGGUACGGUCGGACAUCGUGCUAAUAGUGCAAUGGCAUAAGCGUGCUUAACUGCGAGACUGACAAGUCGAGCAGAUGCGAAAGCAGGACAUAGUGAUCCGGUGGUUCUGUAUGGAAGGGCCAUCGCUCAACGGAUAAAAGGUACUCUGGGGAUAACAGGCUGAUACCGCCCAAGAGUUCAUAUCGACGGCGGUGUUUGGCACCUCGAUGUCGGCUCAUCUCAUCCUGGGGCUGUAGCCGGUCCCAAGGGUAUGGCUGUUCGCCAUUUAAAGAGGUACGUGAGCUGGGUUUAAAACGUCGUGAGACAGUUUGGUCCCUAUCUUCCGUGGGCGCUGCAGAUUUGAGGAAGCCUGCUCCUAGUACGAGAGGACCGGAGUGGACACACCUCUGGUGUAUCGGUUGUCACGCCAGUGGCAUUGCCGAGUAGCUAUGUGUGGAAGAGAUAACCGCUGAAAGCAUCUAAGCGGGAAACUCGUUUCAAGAUGAGAUCUGCCGGGGCCUUGAGCCCCCUAAAGAGUCGUUCAAGACCAGGACGUUGAUAGGUCGGGUGUGGAAGCGCAGUAAUGCGUUAAGCUAACCGAUACUAAUUGCUCGUGCGGCUUGACCCU
rnacentral:rRNA from 1 species